rnacentral:rRNA from 1 species
AUUGAACGCUGGCGGCAUGCCUUACACAUGCAAGUCGAACGGCAGCACGGGAGCAAUCCUGGUGGCGAGUGGCGAACGGGUGAGUAAUGUAUCGGAACGUGCCUAGUCGUGGGGGAUAACGUAGCGAAAGCUACGCUAAUACCGCAUACGAUCUAUGGAUGAAAGCGGGGGACCUUCGGGCCUCGCGCGAUUAGAGCGGCCGAUAUCAGAUUAGGUAGUUGGUGGGGUAAAGGCUCACCAAGCCGACGACCUGUAGCUGGUCUGAGAGGACGACCAGCCACACUGGGACUGAGACACGGCCCAGACUCCUACGGGAGGCAGCAGUGGGGGAAUUUUGGACAAUGGGCGCAAGCCUGAUCCAGCCAUGCCGCGUGCAGGAUGAGGGCCUUC